rnacentral:lncRNA from 1 species
GCUACAUCGUGCAAGAGAGUGUAUUCAGAAAGGACUCAUUCAGGUGUCCUACAUGCCAGGAAAUGAAAUUCCUGCUGAUCUGUUGUCUAAGGUUGUUAACAGAAAACAACUUAAGGUUUACGUACAAAGGUUGCAAUUGGGUUGAACCACAGGUACUACAGGUUACACGGAAAGGGGGAGGAUGUUAGGAUAUUUCCGUUCCACCUUAAAAGGGAGC